UGCAGUCGAGCGGUAGAGAGAAGCUUGCUUCCUCUUGAGAGCGGCGGAMGGGUGAGUAAUGCCUAGGAAUCUGCCUGGUAGUGGGGGAUAACGUUCGGAAACGGACGCUAAUACCGCAUACGUCCUACGGGAGAAAGCAGGGGACCUUCGGGCCUUGCGCUAUCAGAUGAGCCUAGGUCGGAUUAGCUAGUUGGUGGGGUAAUGGCUCACCAAGGCGACGAUCCGUAACUGGUCUGAGAGGAUGAUCAGUCACACUGGAACUGAGACACGGUCCAGACUCCUACGGGAGGCAGCAGUGGGGAAUAUUGGACAAUGGGCGAAAGCCUGAUCCAGCCAUGCCGCGUGUGUGAAGAAGGUCUUCGGAUUGUAAAGCACUUUAAGUUGGGAGGAAGGGUUGUAGAUUAAUACUCUGCAAUUUUGACGUUACCGACAGAAUAAGCACCGGCUAACUCUGU
rnacentral:rRNA from 1 species